rnacentral:rRNA from 1 species
AGCAGCCGCGGUAAUUCCAGCUCCAAUAGCGUAUAUUAAAGUUGCUGCAGUUAAAAAGCUCGUAGUUGAAUUUCGGGAUCAUAAUGUUGGUCGUGCCUAGGUACGUACUGGCAUUGUUGGUUUCUCCCUUCUGACGAACCAUGAUGUCAUUUAUUUGGUGUCGUGGGAAAUCAGGACUGUUACUUUGAAAAAUUAGAGUGUUUAAAGCAGGCUCACGCUUGAAUACAUUAGCAUGGAAUAAUGAAAUAGGACGUUUGAUUCUAUUUUGUUGGUUUCUAGGAUCGACGUAAUGAUUAAUAGGGAUAGUUGGGGGCAUUAAUAUUCAAUUGUCAGAGGUGAAAUUCUUGGAUUUAUUGAAGACUAACUACUGCGAAAGCAUUUGCCAAGGAUGUUUUCAUUAAUCAAGAACGAAAGUUAGGGGAUCGAAGACGAUCAGAUACCGUCGUAGUCUUAACCAUAAACUAUGCCGACUAGGGAU